rnacentral:rRNA from 1 species
CCUACGGGAGGCUGCAGUGGGGAAUAUUGGGCAAUGGGCGCAAGCCUGACCCAGCAACGCCGCGUGAAGGAAGAAGGCUUUCGGGUUGUAAACUUCUUUUCUCAGGGACGAAGAAAGUGACGGUACCUGAGGAAUAAGCCACGGCUAACUACGUGCCAGCAGCCGCGGUAAUACGUAGGUGGCAAGCGUUAUCCGGAUUUAUUGGGUGUAAAGGGCGUGUAGGCGGGAGAGCAAGUCAGAUGUGAAAACCCAGGGCUCAACCCUGGGCCUGCAUUUGAAACUGUGUUUCUUGAGUGCUGGAGAGGCAAUUGGAAUUCCGUGUGUAGCGGUGAAAUGCGUGGAUAUACGGAGGAAUACUAGUGGCGAAGGCGACCUGCUAGAACAUAACUGACGCUGAUGCGCGAAAGCGUGGGGAGCAAACAGGAUUAGAUACCCUGGUAGUC